rnacentral:tRNA from 1 species
GGAAAGAUGGUCCAGUGGUUAGGAUACUAACUUGGUAUUUGAGAGACUGGGGUUUGAUUCCCAGUUCUGCCA